GCCAGUGUAGCUCAGUGGUAGAGCAGCGGUUUCGUAAACCGCAGGUCACGGGUUCGAAUCCCGUCACUGGCUCCA
rnacentral:tRNA from 1 species